rnacentral:tRNA from 1 species
GGGGAUUUAGCUCAGUUGGUAGAGUGCUUGCCUUGCAUGCACAAGGCCCUGGGUUCAAUCCCCAGCACCA